rnacentral:rRNA from 1 species
AGCUUGCUAUUGAUGAGAGUGGCGCACGGGUGCGUAACGCGUGAGCAACCUGCCCAUUUCAGGGGGAUAGCCCGGAGAAAUCCGGAUUAAGACCGCAUAUGAUCACGUUACCGCAUGGUAGAGUGAUGAAAUAUUCAUAGGAAAUGGAUGGGCUCGCGUGACAUUAGCUAGUUGGUAGGGUAACGGCCUACCAAGGCGACGAUGUCUAGGGGCUCUGAGAGGAGAAUCCCCCACACUGGUACUGAGACACGGACCAGACUCCUACGGGAGGCAGCAGUAAGGAAUAUUGGUCAAUGGGGGGAACCCUGAACCAGCCAUGCCGCGUGCAGGAAGACGGCCCUACGGGUUGUAAACUGCUUUUGCACGGGAAUAACCCUCAUUAUGUAUAAUGAGCUGAAUGUACCGUGAGAAUAAGGAUCGGCUAACUCCGUGCCA